GAACUUCAACAGUCCAUCGAUGUGUUUUUGCCUGGAGUCGAAUGCAUUUUCAAAGUAUUAACUGAACCUGGAUCUAUAAUAUUGAAAGCUAAUCGAAUCAGUCUAUUUUGGUAGCGAAAUUCGUGUUAAAAAUAUGACUUGCAUAAACGACAAAUUCGAUUUGGCGUUAUAGGUAAACAGACAUGUUCUUUGAUUUCAGUACUUAGUACGGCAUGUUGUGAGCAUUGUUUGUGUCACAUGAGUAACUAAUAUUUAAAUAUUAGUUUUAUUCAUGUCGAUGCUUAAUGUUUCAUGGCUGUCAAUGAAAUCGGCAAGUCUACAGGAGUUUUGAAUGCCGAGUUAUUCGACCCGUCUUGAAACACGGUCUAAGGAGUUCACUGCAUGUGCAAGAGUUCGGCUGUAUGAAAAGCCUUGCUCGUAAUGAAAGUAAAGAACAUUCUUGCAAUGUUUUAAGUGUGAUUUCUGUCAUCUGGUGUAAAUCAUGACAAUGAACGCAACACUGACAGGUUCUAUUGCCGUUGGCAAAGAGCUUAGUAAGAGUAUAUGCAAUGAGACCCGAAAGAUGGUGAACUUAAUGUGUGUAGAAUGAAGCCAGGGGAAACCCUGGUGGAAGUUCGUAGCGGUUCUGACGUGCAAAUCGAUCGUCAAACAUGCAUUAAGGGGCGAAAGACUAAUCGAACCAUCUAGUAGCUGGUUCCGUCCGAAGUUUCCCUCAGGAUAGCUGGCAUUCAAUUUUCACAGUUAUAUCCGGUAAAGCGAAUGUUUAGAGGCAUUGGGCGUAAAAUACGCUCAACCUAUUGACAAACUUUAAAUGGGUAUGAAGUUCAUUUUUCUACUUCAUUGAGAAUGAACAGCGAAUGUGAGUGCCAAGUGGGCCAUUUUUGGUAAGCAGAACUGGCGCUGUUGGAUGCACAAAACGUCAAGAUAAAGAGCCAGAUGGUCUCGCUCAUCAGAUACCAUAAAAGGUGUUGGUCGAUAUAGACAGCAGGACGGUGGCCAUGGAAGUCGGAAUCCGUUAAGGAGUGUGUAACAACUCACCUGCCGAAUCGACUAGUCCUAAAAAUGGAUGGCGCUCGAGCGAGCCUCUUAUACUUGACUGUUACGAUACAAUAAGCCAUUCACGGACAUCAUGUCGUAACAAGUAGGACGGUUGAUAUGGUUGCGUCGAAGGCUAACACGUGAGUGUGGCUUGAGCAGUCAUAUGUACAGAUCUUAGUGGUAGUAGCAACUAUUCAAAUGAGAACUUUGAAGACUGACGUGGAGAAAGGUUCCAUGUGAACAGCUAUUGGACAUGGGUCAGUCAGUCCUAAGAUGCGCUCGAAAGAGGGUUCCGAACGUGGAAUAUUUAUUCAUUAUUAUAUUCCAUCAAAUCGAAAGGGAAACAAGUUAAUAUUCUUGUACUAAGUGUCGGAGAUUGUUUGAUUCUCUGUCAAACAUAUGUGGUAACACAAACAAGCUCAAAUACAUCACAAGUGGUCCUGGAAAGAGUUUUCUCUUCUUUGUUACUUCAUCAGACGACCCUGGAAUCAGUUCAACUGGAGAUAGGGUUCAAAUGAAGGUAAAGAGUAGCCGUUCUUGCUACUUCCUCGGUGCAUCAUUUGUGAUCCUUGAAAAUUUGAGCGAGAUAUUAAAUUUCGCACUUAUCUGUACUCUAAACCGCAUCAGGUCUCCAAGGUGAAAAGCCUCUAGUCAAUUAGAACAAGGUAGCACAAGGGAAGUCGGCAAAAUCGAUCGGCAACUUCGGGAUAACGAUUGGCUCUAAGUGCUAGGGUGUUCGGGCUUGAUGAUAAAGCAGUAGACUUGCUAUUGGAGCUGAGCUUUCGGAUACAGCAAUGUGUCUGAUCGUUCGGACUAGUGGCUUGUCUUGCUGUGGAAUCGUUUUGCUACGGUAUGCGAGUCGCUUGCGGUUCGUAUUACUUCGGACAUCGUUUAAUAGCAAACUUAGAACUCGCUGCGUCUAGGGGAAUCCGACUGUCUAGUUAAAACAGAGCUUUGCGAUUGGCCGGAAAACUUGGUGUUGACGCAAAGUGAUUUCUGCCCAGUGCUCUGAAUGUUAACGUGAAGAAAUUCAAACAAGCGCGGGUAAACGGCGGGAGUAACUAUGACUCUCUUCUGGUAGCCAAAUGCCUCGUCAUCUAAUUAGUGACGCGCAUGAAUGGAUUAACGAGAUUCCCACUGUCCCUGUCUACUAUCUAGCGAAACCACAGCCAAGGGAACGGGCUUGGACUUCAAUGCGGGGAAAGAAGACCCUGUU
rnacentral:rRNA from 1 species